rnacentral:RNase_P_RNA from 1 species
CCAGCGGGCCGGGUGGCCGCUGCGGGCGAUCCCCGCAGAGGAAAGUCCGGACUCCACCGGGCAGGGUGCCAGGUAACACCUGGGCGGCGUGAGCCGACGGAAAGUGCCACAGAAACAUACCGCCGGGAACGUUCCCGGUAAGGGUGAAAUGGUGCGGUAAGAGCGCACCGGCGUCCCGGUAACGGGGCGGCCAGGCAAACCCCACCCGGAGCAAGGCCGAAUAGGGGAGGAGGGUGCCCGGCCCGUCAGCACUCCCGGGUUGGCCGCUCGAGCGCCGCAGCGAUGCGGCGCCAAGAGAGAUGGCCACCACCCGCACCACGCGGUGCGGGUACAGAAUCCGGCUUAUAGGCCCGCUGGGCGC